rfam:Eutrema salsugineum unplaced genomic scaffold scaffold_15, whole genome shotgun sequence.
UAUCCAUGGUGUGGACAAUCUCUUGGAUAUUCCCUAAAUCUUUCCCAAGUAUCUAAAAGAUCUUCAUCUUUUUGUUGUUUAAAAGUUCUUAUCUUGUUUCUUAAGAGA